rnacentral:rRNA from 1 species
GGGGAAAAAUUAAUAAUAAAUUUUUUAAUAGAAGAAAUUUUAAAAAUAAUUAGGGGGGUUUAAGUAUUUUUAAAGAAAAAAUAUUAAAAUUUAUAGAAAAUGAGUAUUGUUAAAGAAUUUUGAAAUAUUUUAAAAAAUAAUUAAAAAAAAAGUAAUUUUAAUUAAAUGUAUCUUGUGUAUCAGAGUUUAUUAAUAAAAAAUUUAUAGGAAAAAAAAUUCUCGAAUUUAAAAGAAAUAAUUAAUUAAAAAAAUUAUUGUGGCAAAAAUAUUUUUAAUAAUUAAUUUGAAAUGAAAUGUUAUUCGUUUUUAAAUAUAUCUAGUUUUUCUAGAAAAAAAUUUAAUUUUGAAUAUAAUUAAGAAAAAGUAAAUUAAUUUACUUUUUCUUAAUUAUAAUUUAAUAAUUUAAGGGAUAAGCUUUAAAUUAAAAGUUUAUAAUAAAAAUUUUUAAUUGGAAAUUUUUAUAAUUUAAAUUGUUAAAAAAAUGUAGUUUUUUAUAAAUAAUUUCAUAUAAAAUAAAAUUUUGGGGGAAAUUUAAUUUUUUAUAGAAAUAUUUUUAAAAAUAAGAUAAAUAAAGUUAUAAUGAUAAAAUUAGUAUAUAAAUAAAAUUUAAAUAAAAAAUUUAAUUUAAAUUAAAUUAAUAUAAAAGAAUUCGGCAAAAAUUUAUAUUCACUUGUUUAACAAAAACAUGUCUUUUUGAAAUUAAUUUAAAGUCUAAUCUGCCCACUGAUAAAAAUUGAAGGGCUGCAGUAUAUUGACUGUACAAAGGUAGCAUAAUCAUUAGUCUCUUAAUUGGUGACUUGUAUGAAGGAUUGGAUGAAAUAUAAACUGUUUCUAAAUUAUUUAUAAAAUUUAAUUUUUUUGUAAAAAAGCAAAAAUAAAUUUAAAAGACGAGAAGACCCUAUAGAGUUUAAUAAAAUUUUUAAAAGAUAAUUUAUUUAUAAAUAAUUAUAUAAAAAUUAAAAAUUUUAUUUUGUUGGGGUGAUAGAAAAAUUGAUUUAACUUUUUUUAAAAUAAAACAUAAAUAAAUGAAAAUAAAGAUCCAAAAUUUUUGAUUAAAAGAAAAAAUUACCUUAGGGAUAACAGCGUAAUUUUUUUUUUUUAGUACAAAUAAAAAAAAAAGUUUGCGACCUCGAUGUUGGAUUAAGAUAAAAAUUAAAUGCAAAAGUUUAAAUUUUUGAUCUGUUCGAUCAUUAAAAUCUUACAUGAUCUGAGUUCAAACCGGUGUGAGCCAGGUUGGUUUCUAUCUUUAGAAAAAUAAAAUAUUUUAGUACGAAAGGAUCAAAUAUUUAAAAUAAUUUUAUAAUAAUGAAUUUUAAUAAAUAGUUUUAUAAA